CAGACUUCCUGCCUGGCUUCAGGCUUGUCGUUUUUUGUGCCUUCCCGCCGUGAUGGACUGUGUCUCCUCUGGAACCCUGGGCCAAGGAUGCAAGCUCUCAGCAACUGCUCCAGCACCAUGCCUGCAUGCCUGCUGCCAUGCUCCCCUCCAUGAUGGUCAUGGACUCGAACCCUCUGGAACUCCGAACCCCAGACCCAGCACCAAGCUUCAACCCUGGAGGAACGGCUGGGUUCUUGGCUGAUGACCUCACCUUAUGAGCUCAGCGCUGUAACAGAAUCAAUCCACUGCAGCUGUGGCUGUCGGCACAAGACCUGUGCAAAAUGACAUCCUUCAACACUUCAUCAUGGAUGGCGAGGAGACCACCAGGCCCCACCCCUCUCUGAGGGACUGUUAGUUAUUAGCAGUUAAAGGUUGCUGGCAGAGGGGGCGUGGUGUGACCUUUUCUUUAGAGAUGUAGCUACUGUGAAGUUGCCCUGUUCCAGUAAAUAACCUCCUACCCCAUGCUCUGGGAAGAAACUCUAAACGCAGUGGGGGCCACACACAAAAAGGAGAUGUGGAGAUUGGAGGGGGUUUGUUAGGAAAAAAGGCUGCAG